rfam:Triticum aestivum genome assembly, contig: Triticum_aestivum_CS42_TGACv1_scaffold_500357_6BL
CAUCUACUCCCUCCAUCUGUAAUUACUUGUCAUCAAAAUGAAUGAAAGUGGAUGUAUUUAAAUCUAAAAUACAUCUAGAUACAUCCAUUUAAAUGACAAGUAUUUCCGGACGGAGGGAGUAGCUA